rnacentral:sRNA from 1 species
AAAAAAAAUCAAAAACUAA